UGGUCCCUUCGUCUAUCGGUUAGGACAUGAGAUUCUCAAUCUUAAAAGACGGGUUCGAUUCCCGUAGGGACCGGUUC
rnacentral:tRNA from 1 species